GUCGAACGGCAGCACGGGUGCUUGCACCUGGUGGCGAGUGGCGAACGGGUGAGUAAUACAUCGGAACAUGUCCUGUAGUGGGGGAUAGCCCGGCGAAAGCCGGAUUAAUACCGCAUACGAUCUACGGAUGAAAGCGGGGGACCUUCGGGCCUCGCGCUAUAGGGUUGGCCGAUGGCUGAUUAGCUAGUUGGUGGGGUAAAGGCCUACCAAGGCGACGAUCAGUAGCUGGUCUGAGAGGACGACCAGCCACACUGGGACUGAGACACGGCCCAGACUCCUACGGGAGGCAGCAGUGGGGAAUUUUGGACAAUGGGCGAAAGCCUGAUCCAGCAAUGCCGCGUGUGUGAAGAAGGCCUUCGGGUUGUAAAGCACUUUUGUCCGGAAAGAAAUCCUUGGCUCUAAUACAGUCGGGGGAUGACGGUACCGGAAGAAUAAGCACCGGCUAACUACGUGCCAGCAGCCGCGGUAAUACGUAGGGUGCGAGCGUUAAUCGGAAUUACUGGGCGUAAAGCGUGCGCAGGCGGUUUGCUAAGACCGAUGUGAAAUCCCCGGGCUCAACCUGGGAACUGCAUUGGUGACUGGCAGGCUAGAGUAUGGCAGAGGGGGGUAGAAUUUCUACGUGUAGCAGUGAAAUGCGUAAGAUGUGGAGGGAAUACCGAUGGCGAAGGCAGCCCCCUGGGCCAAUACUGACGCUCAUGCACGAAAAGCGUGGAG
rnacentral:rRNA from 1 species